GACGAACGCUGGAGGCGUGCUUAACACAUGCAAGUCGAACGAUGAAAUGGAGCUUGCUCCAUGGAUUAGUGGCGAACGGGUGAGUAACACGUGAAUAACCUGCCCUUAAUUUUGGAAUAACCCAGGGAAACCUGGGCUAAUACCGGAUAAGUAAACCUGUGGCAUCACAUGGUUCCGGAAAGUUUUUCGAUUAAGGAUGGAUUCGCGGCCUAUUAGCUUGUUGGUGAGGUAAUGGCUCACCAAGGCGACGACGGGUAGCCGGCCUGAGAGGGUGAACGGCCACACUGGGACUGAGACACGGCCCAGACUCCUACGGGAGGCAGCAGUGGGGAAUAUUGCGCAAUGGAAGAAAGUCUGACGCAGCGACGCCUCGUGAGGGACGAAGGUCUUCGGAUUGUAAACCUCUUACAGCAGGGACGAAGCGAAAGUGACGGUACCUGCAGAAGAAGCACCGGCUAACUAUGUGCCAGCCGCCGCCGUAA
rnacentral:rRNA from 1 species